rnacentral:rRNA from 1 species
UACGUAGGGUGCGAGCGUUAAUCGGAAUUACUGGGCGUAAAGCGUGCGCAGGCGGUGAUGUAAGACAGAUGUGAAAUCCCCGGGCUCAACCCGGGAACUGCGUCCGAUACUGGAAGGCUUGAAUCCGGGAGAGGGAUGUGGAAUUCCAGGUGUAGCGGUGAAAUGCGUAGAUAUCUGGAGGAACACCGGUGGCGAAGGCGGCAUCCCGGACCGGCAUUGACGCUGAGGCGCGAAAGCCAGGGGAGCAAACGGG